UACGGAGGGUGCAAGCGUUAUCCGGAUUUACUGGGUUUAAAGGGUGCGUAGGUGGGCAGGUAAGUCAGUGGUGAAAUCUUCGAGCUUAACUCGGAAACUGCCAUUGAUACUAUCUGUCUUGAAUCAUCUGGAGGUAAGCGGAAUAUGUCAUGUAGCGGUGAAAUGCUUAGAUAUGACAUAGAACACCCAUUGCGAAGGCAGCUUACUACGGAUGUAUUGACACUGAGGCACGAAAGCGUGGGGAU
rnacentral:rRNA from 1 species